UACGUAGGGUCCGAGCGUUGUCCGGAAUUACUGGGCGUAAAGCGCGCGCAGGCGGCCCGCGAGGUGUCACGUGAAAGCCCCGGGCUCAACCCUGAGUCGGCCGUCGAUACUGCGAGGCUUGAGCACUGUAGAGGCAGGUGGAAUUCCGGGUGUAGCGGUGGAAUGCGUAGAGAUCCGGAAGAACACCGGUGGCGAAGGCGGCCUGCUGGGCAGUAGCUGACGCUGAGGCGCGACAGCGUGGGGAGCAAACAGG
rnacentral:rRNA from 1 species